CACCACCCUGAGGCGGGUGGGAGGGGAGAGAGCAGGCAGCUGAAGCACCCCGAGGGGCAGGAGAGCAGCACCUUGAGGGAGGGUGUGUAGGGAGGGAAGCAGAACACCCUGAGGGGGAGGAGAGCAGCACUUUGGGAGAGGGGAGCAGCACCUUGAGGGCGAGUGUGUGUGUGGUGAGGAAGCAGGACACCCCAAGGCAGGGAGGGGAAAACAGCACCCUGAGGGGGGAGAGGGGGAGCAACCCCCUACGUGGCAGUGAUUGUGCAUUUUAUGGACAUAGUGGGUGCACUAACCCUAAGCAUGGCCUUGACCCACCCAACCCCUGGUACUUCAGCCUGAGACCUGAAUAUUUUGAUUGGUUCAGAGGCAUUUAGCAGUAAACUCUGUGGUUUUCUCACAUUGGCAACUGCCUGGAAUGGGGCCUUCCGUCUCUUCUGGAACAUAGGCUAGAACUGGACUUGUAUCCCCUCUGCUCUCACUUAGGAGCCACUCCAUGGAAGCAGGAAUGAAACUGUUGUUCUCAUGCUCUGGUGCAGUGCAAGGGCCUCUUUUAUAGUUAACCGGCUGUACCCCAUUGGUGGUAUACUUUAUUCCUCUCCCCAGAGCUUGCCUUAUGUGUGUCCAAGGGGUGAGAAAGAGAGAAAUGUCAGAAGAAGUUGGGGCUUCCAGGAGCCCCUCCUCAGCAGCUGGAGGUCAAGUCCCCUUUCUGCACGAAGAACUGUGUGACUGUGAUUCUGUACCUGCCAAGUGUAAAUGUCCAGCAGCUCCAUCAUCUCCUGUACCAGACAAUCCCCAGCUGCAGUCCAGAGCUUCAUUGGACUCUAUAAUCGGGGAAGGAUGUAGAAUUCAAGUGUCUGUUAUUCUGCCUGUUCACAAUUCUGAAUGUUGGUUGGAUGAAUGCUUGAAGUCAGUUGUGGAGCAAGAUUUUGAAGGUACCAUGGAGUUGUCUGCGUUUAAUGAUGCUAGUAAGGACAAUUCAAUUAAUAUAAUUGAAAAAUGGAAGCUCAAGUUGGAAGAUGUGGGUAUUCGGGUUGUCAUUGGUGGUCAUGAUUCACCUCAACCCCAAGGAGUUGGCUUUGCUAAAAACCAAGCAGUAAUACAGAGUUCAGGGACCUACCUCUGCUUUCUGGAUUCUGAUGAUGUGAUGAUGCCACAGAGGGUGAGACUGCAGUAUGAAGCUGCCAUUCAGCAUUCAAAUAGUAUUAUAGGUUGCCAAGUCAGGAGAGAGCCAUUGGAUUCAACUGAACGAUAUACUCGUUGGAUCAAUAAUCUGACACCUGGACAACUUCUUACACAGGUGUUUACCUCCCAUGGACCCACUGUGAUCAUGCCUACCUGGUUCUGUUCCCGAGAAUGGUUUUGUCACGUGGGCAAAUUUGAUGAGGGUGGGAAGGGUGUUCCAGAAGACUUGCUGUUCUUUUAUGAUCAUAUCCGAAAGGGUGGUGGAGUCUUUCGAGUUGACCAGUGCCUCCUCCAGUAUCGCUACCAUCCACAGGCAGCAACUCAUUCUGUUCUAGAGAUUCUCUGGAAGAGCAGCCCAUUGGAGCUAGCAGAUGGAGAAGAAGAAAUGGAAACCAUCUGGAAUCACCGAGUCAGGUUUCUGGAAGACAGAGCCCUCAAGCACUGGACAUCUUUCACCAUUUGGAAUGCUGGCAAACAGGGCAGGAAGCUCUAUAGAAGCUUAUCACCAGCUAAUCAGAAAAAGGUAGCUGCAUUUUGUGAUGUUGAUGAAAAUAAGAUAGCGAAAGGUUUCUACACUUACCAAGAAUCCAAGGAGAGACGAAAACCCCAAAUUCCCAUACAACAUUUCAAAGACGCAACCCCACCUUUCAUUAUCUGUGUAAAGUUGGAUCUGACAGGUGGAGGAUUUGAAGAAAACUUGGCCACACUAGACUUGAAAGAGGGACUGGAUUAUUAUCAUUUCAACUGAACACUGAGCUCAGUCUCAAACUCCAGUUUAUCAAGAUGCUGCAGCACAGAUCACUUCCUCCUUCAUGACGCAAGUGCCAGAGAGCUUCAGUUUUCAAAGCAACAGAGAACACUGACUGCUUUACUAUGCUGCACUCUACAUACAGGAAACAAAAAAAGAAGAACUUAUGAAAUUCCUUUUAGUUUGCCCCAUUUUAACACAUUUCCCCCAGUCUGGGGCAUAGAGAGCAAUAAAGAAGAAUGAAUAGGGAUUGAAUGACAUAUGGGACAGAAGAAUGUUACCCUUUCCCAAAAGCUGUUCCUACUCUUGCAGUCCAAGACUCUUCCUGAUACCUUUCUUCAAUGAUGAUGGAACAGAGUCCUGGAAGUGCCUUAAGGGACAAGCUCUAGUGCUUUUGGUGUGGUUUGUUUCUCAGCUGUUGAAGCUGCAGAGCCUGAAGCUCCAGAUGAAUAUUCAUCUUACACUAUCAUCUCUCUGAACUGGAUUGGAAUCUGAUGCCUGCAACACAGGAGAUCCUAACCUGGGUUCUGUUUUUUAAGGGAAGCAGGCCCUAUCGCAGUCACUCUGUUCAGAGUUCCAUAAAAUCCAAACUCUGAGCCCAGGGGUUUCUCCUGGAACAGGAAGAAUCUCUACUCUGUUACUUUUGCUGUGAGUAGGACUGAAAUGAGAUUCUGCCCCCAUCUGUCUCUGAUCUCACAGGAGUAGGAAACGAAUACUUUGUUCAUAUAAUAUGUUACCAUCUUAUCAAGCUUCUCCAUAAAUGGGAUUACAAAUAAGAUACAGAUAAAUUUUACACUUGACAGGGCUUAAGUCAGAGUUAGGGCCAGGACAACUCAGAGUCCAUGCAUCCUCUUUUUAUGAAUGCAGCAGCUACAGGUAUUUCUUUAGCUAUCAGUGAGUUCUUCUUUGUUCUGAGGGCAGAGGUUUUUAAUUCAUCACAGCAGGACACCGUAGCACUAGCAAGCAUGUGCUUCCUAGUGACAGUAGGGCUGCUGAAGAGGCUGUGAAGUCUGUUCUAAGAAUGGCAUCUAUCUUUGUGCCUGCACGGUCCUUUAGUAAGAAAACUCCCUCUGCAGUAAUUACCUGUUGCAUCAAGUUUAGCCAGUGAAGAGUGCAGCUUUAGGUGGCCUUGUAGAAUUUCAGGGCCUGCCACCUGAAGCAUGUUCCGUGCCUCCCUAACAAUUUGCAUGAAGAAGGAAUGAAAGGGGAGGACAAGUGUAUUUAAUAUUUGUCCUGCUUAUCCUGGUGGCCAACAUCUCCCUCCCCAUUGUCUGACAUAUCUGGAGGAAAAGAACCUCUCUCAUGCUUCUCUGGUUUAGGGUCACAGUGAUCAAAACAGAGUUCUCCUCCUGUGGAGAAUGAGCUGUACUCAAAACUGUGCUGGCUUCAUGCUGCAUACUUCUGCAAAUCUGGCCCAUCAUGUGUACAUUAAACUGAGUAAGGAAAUUCUUUCCUAAGGUUACAUGUUGUCACUUCUCAGGUUAUUAGGUUUUAGAAUAUAACUUUCCUGAAUCUUUCAAUACCUUUUUUGUCCUAAAUGCAGAAUCAAUUUAUAGGAAGUCACAUAAGUCAUGGAAUUUUAGUUUUGCUAUUGAAUUUGAAGGGGAAAUUCUUACCAUUCUUUUCCACAAAACACAGACACACACACUGUACACACAGGCAUCUGUGCUACAUUAUUUCAUGCUUGCAUUGUCUCAGUAAGUUGAGAUUUACACCAGAAGUCUGGAAUGUUUUCAAGGAAUGGGAUUGGAGGGUUUUAUAAAAACUGUUUUAGACAAUUCCAUACAUUCUGUACUUAUGUCUUAGGCUCAUAGCACAAUCCCAUGGAUCUUGGAUUUCUAGAUGUCAUUAACAAGUACAGAAUAUUUAGUAAAAUAACUGAUGCUUUUAAUUUUGUUUCUUCAGGAAAAUUCUAUAGCAAAAACUCCAAACUCUACCUUGGACACUAGUUGCGGUUUCGGCACUUUCAUUAGGUCACAGAGAUAGUUGCGCUUCUCUCUCACUAGUGGUAAUUCAGCAUCCCUACAAGGGAAGAUAAGAGAAUUCCUUUUAAUGUUCAUGCUUUCAGUCCAUCUAGAACGAAAAUAAUUUUUGGAACUGAAUUUGUAACAUGCAGUGAAAAGAAAAGCUUAAUGAACAGUUUGACAAUACUAUUUACUGUUUAUUCUUAAUACAGUAUCCUUUCAAAGUAUAGUGAAACAUAUUUACUCUUAAUAAAUUCUGAUUUGAUUGAUACAAAAAAAGUAUAACAUUUUUACUGCACUGCAUUAAACCAGAGGACUCUUAACAGUAUGUCUCCUAGAAGUGUCAAUGUCCCCAAAUGAUUAUUCGAUAUUGAAGGUAUUUCCAAGCCUAAAAUAAAGGGAAACCUUUGGUACCUCUGACACAACCCUGUACAUAAUUUUGAUUUUGUAAAGGUAGCCAUGGUAUAUAGAGUCUCAUACCCAGUGACUUAAUUCUCUGGGGAGGACAAAACUGAUUCCAGUACUACAGAAAAGGGUGCACACAAUCUAAAUGUUGAAUACCUCUGGCCUUUUUCAAAGAUACUUGACAACUUUGGCAAGUUGCAAACUUGCUUUGAGCCAAAACAAAAGGCACAUUUUGUUAUAUUAUAAAUUAAACAAUUGUACCCUAAACCCAUGGUAGUUCUAACAGGGAGACUAUUUCAAACAUGCAUAUCCUGGUUAUUGUCUUUUUUACCAAAUAUUUGAGGCUGGUUCAGCUUCCUGAUGUCAACACAGAUUUAUUUUAAUUCAGAAGUAUAAAGUUGUUCCUGUAGUGCCCAGAGAGUUUGAGAAUUUUAACAUACGAUUGAUGAUCCCCUGCAAGGUGUCAUAAGUCUUCUUUAAUAAACAUUAUAUUCUUCAACUGCUUUAUCUACAAGUCUCCCCAGGUGAAACAAGCGCACACGAACUAAUCUAGAACGCUAUCUUAAAUCUCAAACUAUUAGACUUAUAUUUGAAUUUGGGGUAUACACUAAGCACUGGACCAACAGAGAAUAGAGCAGGCAGCCAGCCACAUAAUUUUAGUGAGUACAGGGCAGGGUUCUGAUGGCUGACUAAUUUAAGACCAGGCCUGUAACAACCAUAUUUUCUGUAAUGAUUUUGAUUUAAAUAUUCCUCUUUUAGUUUGAUUACUUCAGUGACAAAUUAAUAAAGGGGAAUCUACAAUACAAACAACACUGUUCUCAAACCAGUUGCUUGUCUCAGCGUUAUUUCUGUAUAUGACAUAGCAACAGCCACUGCUCCCUCCCUUCUUCACAAUUUAUGGAGAUGAAAGACGGAUUUCAUGCCAAAAUAGCUAAACAAUCUUUAACUUUCUGAGUGAAUAUUGAAAGAUAUUAACACAAGAGGAGCAAUUUCAAAAGUUUGUGGAAACAAAUUAUUUUAACUGUAGAGUUCACGUGGUAAUUUAACCAAAAUGUAAGACAUAAAAGAAAUAGAUUCUGCAAAUCUGAGAAAAGCUCAUAUAGUUGUUCUAAUUCUGCACUGAAAGAUUAAGAAAAGUAGCAGCAGCCAAUCAUUAUACUUCUGACACAUCAUUUACUUUAAAAUCCAUCACCAGUCAGGAAUUUCAGAGCAGAAUGGGGAAUUAUUUUAUGCCAUAGUUUAAUAUCAGAGUUUCAGAUCCAGCACCCUUUAGGUUGCCAAAAACAAGCUGUGCAAACAGAAAAUCUACUUAAGUUAAUGCAGAACAAUUAUCCAAAAUCAGUGACUAACGCCAGUGUGUUUUUACAUGGCUUCAGAGAAACUGUGAAAGAGUGCCCUAAGUCUACUUGUUCCUUGAAGACAUCAGAAUUCACUAAAAUGGGAGAGUUUGGAAGUGUUUAAGUCAUGAACACAUCUAUUGUAAUACAACGAUGAGAACAUUACUUGUUGCAUUCACAGAACUAAAGAAAAGGGCAUCAAAUGGUACUCAAAUUAGUUCACUUGCUUUAUCUCUUAAGCAGUGACACCUUUAAAACACCUAUCCUGCACCCUCUGUGGAUCUAGAACUGUAUAGUCAAAGCCUCUCUCUCUCCUCAUGAUUAAUAUUUCAGGCUCAUUAUAAUACAACACUAAAUAAAGCUGUGAAAAUAUGAACAUUUAAGCAUAAAUAUAAUCAGCAGUUCUUAUAGCAUCCAGUUUUCUGUCAUAUGUUUCUAUUCUGUUAUUUUAUUGCAGUGGUUCUCAAACUUUUGUACUGGUGACUCCUAUCACAUAGGAAGCCUGAGUGCGACCCCCCCUUAUAAAUUAAAAACACUUUUUUAUAUAUUUAACACCAUUAUAAAUGCUGGAGGUAAAGCAGGGUUUGGGGUGGAGACCAACAGCUCAUGAUGCCCCCACCCAUACCCUCACGACUCCCUGAGUGGUCCCAGUCCCCAGUUUGAGAACCCCUUUUUUAUUAAGAACACUGCUAGAAGUCCCUUUUUUCACCACUAGGUGAAUUUCAAGUGAAAUCACUGACCCAAAGGUAGUAAAGUCUAACCCACUGCACCUGGCAUGGACAAGACAAUGUUGCCAUUAUAGCAGAGCAUUUGAUACAAGAGUUCUUCUAAUAGAGUAACAGAAAUGACUCAAAAUCCUGGCAAGUAGUUGUGGUACAUUCAGCUAUAUUAAUUCACAAGUGCAUGCAAGGCCUUCUUUUCCAGAAAAGAUUUAAUGACAAAGACAACGGAAGAUAGUUUAAAUUAUAUUAUUAAUGCAGUUACUUAAUUGAUACUACAAUAUGAAAGUUCCACUGGGGAAUGUCAGACUCUGAAGGAGGGUUCAACAUUUCUGAAGCCUAUAUUUCAGGGGUUGGCAACCUCUGGCAUGUGGUUCGCCAGGGUAAGCACCCUGGUGUGCCAGGCCAGUUUGUCUCCACAAUAAUUUUCUUUUUUGUAUCACAAAGAACUUCCAGGAUUUCCUCCCCUUUUUCUUUAUUAGAAAUUAUGGGCAUUUUAGAAAACACCAUUGGACAAGUAAAACAAACUCAUAACACCUUUAUUUACGACCAAUAUGUAAUAUACAAUAUUACAAGCUUUCAGGGCAGGAAGGUCCCUUUCAGCAACACCUUUUUUGGCCUAAAAACUUGUAUAAAGGUAUAAGUGGAUCUUGUUACAGAUAUCAUGUCGUUUACAGUUCCUUUUCCACUUUUCCUCAUGAACAAAUAUUUUAUAGAUAUGAGAAUUAUUAAAAUUGGCUUUAUUAUUAAACAUUUCUCUGACAAUGAAUUCACUCACCAGUUGGUGUCACUAAGUACUGUCAUGACCUCAUCCAGAAUAUCGGGAUCGACAAUAUCACUGUAGGUUAUCAACAUUUCAUACACUUGACUGGCUGUUGUUUUUCUUAUCUAGAGAGAAGGCAGGGAGAUAAAUUUUAGUUGCUGAAAACAGUGAAAUUACCCAGACUGCUACGUGUUAGUUACAGUUGUUAUUAACAGUACUUUCAGAAUACUUCAGUGGAGAAAGUCGUAUAAAUGUUCAGAAUGCGGAGCUGGGAGUGAUAUUCCCGAGUCUGCCAGUGAUAUGCUGUGGAACCUGGGGAAAGUGACUUCACCUCCCUACUGUAAUUUGCACAUCUAUAAAAUUGAUAUUUUAGCAUUUCUUCUGUAUCUCAAAGAAGUGUUGUGAGUGUAAUGCUUAUUAAAUGUGUCAUUUAUUCA